GCGCGGGGCGGCGGGACAGGCGGUUCCGCGCAGCUCCUGGGAUGCCCGGGCAGCUGCGGGUGCGCUCGCCCCAACCCUCCUUCAUAAACGCAGGGCCUGGGGCUGCCCAGACCCCACAGGGCGGCCCAAGGGUGCACAGGGGCCCCAGGUGUGUCUUCACACAGCCCCCCGCUGUGUCUUCAGCAAGAACCUGCAUUCCACAGCCAGACCGGCCACUUACCAGAACUCGGGGGCGCCCAGGCCUUGCGUGGUGCGCUGGAAGGCCAAAUUCCCACCAGACCAGUGUGUGCCAUGAUGCCCACUGGCCCUCCGGCCACCCCACCCCCCAACCAGCCUGUCCUAAGAGCCGACAACCUUUCUCCACAAAGCUAUUCAAAGGGCAGAAGAGCAGUGUCACUGCCUGGAUGUACAAAUCCAGAACAGACACCAGUGCCAGGUGCU
rnacentral:antisense_RNA from 1 species